GUGUGAAAGCUACUUGGCAUGAAUGCCUGGGCCGUACCAAGUGUCACCGCAGCAAGAGGGGGAGACAGAAGAAAAACAGAUCAGACCAGAGCAGACAAUAGGCCCCUAAAGUGUUCCCCCUAAGUUGCUUUGAUGUUGUCCUGGUGUCUUGAUACCAGGAGGCCAGGGAUUGCUGGAAAAGGGUCUUUUUUGUCUUCGUUCACUUCCCUCCAGUUUCUGCAAUGAUUCUCCAGAAUCUCUGCUCAUGAAAAAGUGAAGGGGAGGUACCCCCAGUCCUGAUCACCCAGACCAGACUCGCAGGAAGAGAGCGGCAUGGCCGGCCAGAAGGGUGAGCGAGAGGACUGCCCCGAGACAUCCACAAACUUUUCCAGUUUCGGGGAAUUCUCUGCUCCGAGAUACUAUAAAGGAGUUGUUGGGUGCUCCGGGCCUCAGUUUACCCAAUCUGUGAAAGCGGGAGAGCCGACUGGGGAUGCCGCACGUCUCCCAGGGGUGAAGCCAAACAGAGCAGCCCACUCCAUGUAACUGUGUGGCGAAAUCUUCUGGCUGGCAAUGCUGUGGAAUCACAAAGUAGAAGUGUGACCAUUAUUCCUGAUUAUCGCCGUCAUGACGAUAAAACCGUCAUUAAAGACACCGGGAGACAAACAGACCGGCGAGCACAGAUCAAGUGUCUGACCAUUUCUAAUGAAACAAAAACCCCCUUUCCACCUGUUGGCUUCUGUCCUUUUCUCUUGUGUCUUUUCCUUAGAUUUAUUGGCCGAUUUGUAGAGAGAAUGGAGUGGGAGGGGUUGGGUUUCCCUUUCCUCCUCCUUCAUCAUACAUAUAUAUGUAUUUAAAGGUCAAUAUAAGAUUCUCACCGGGAAAACGCGCCUCCUGUUAAAGGCCUUUUAUUCAAGACCUUGUGUUUUCUGGCGCUGGCAGGGUGUGCGUGCACAUUUGUAAACUACCUUGGAGGUUAAAGAUUUUUAUUGUGGCUUUUGGAGAUUAAAUGAGAUUUAUUUACAAUUGCCAUUUAUCAGAGAGUAAAUAUCAGUGUGGAGGGGUAAGAAUGUGACGGCUGUUUAUUCUCUGGCGGUUUUGUGGAUAAAACCUUUUGCUUUUUUAAAGUGGCGUCUCAAGAACCGGGAGGAAGGGAGGCUGAAGUCAGUAUCUAAUAUCAAUCUUACACAUGGUUGUUUGGGAGAGGAAAAAAUGUCUGCUUAUGGUUUUGAAUUGUGAAUUUCUUCUGCCUUUACAUGGUUCUAGCCCUCUUGAAAUUCCCUAUGGGUUCUGAUUGCCUGGUUUUAGGUUCUCUGUGAC
ensembl:lncRNA